rnacentral:rRNA from 1 species
GAUGAACGCUGGCGGCGUGCCUAAUACAUGCAAGUCGAGCGAACAGACGAGGAGCUUGCUCCUUUGACGUUAGCGGCGGACGGGUGAGUAACACGUAGGUAACCUACCUAUAAGACUGGGAUAACUUCGGGAAACCGGAGCUAAUACCGGAUAAUAUUUCGAACCGCAUGGUUCGAUAGUGAAAGAUGGCUUUGCUAUCACUUAUAGAUGGACUUGCGCCGUAUUAGCUAGUUGGUAAGGUAACGGCUUACCAAGGCAACGAUACGUAGCCGACCUGAGAGGGUGAUCGGCCACACUGGAACUGAGACACGGUCCAGACUCCUACGGGAGGCAGCAGUAGGGAAUCUUCCGCAAUGGGCGAAAGCCUGACGGAGCAACGCCGCGUGAGUGAUGAAGGUCUUCGGAUCGUAAAACUCUGUUAUUAGGGAAGAACAAACGUGUAAGUAACUGUGCACGUCUUGACGGUACCUAAUCAGAAAGCCACGGCUAACUACGUG